rnacentral:sRNA from 1 species
AAUUCAUGAAAGCUGAGCAAAUUAAAGAUGAGUCUUUAAAGAUAACACAAAAAGUUCCCAGCCAAGAUGGACGAAUAGGAACAACUCUGGUCUGCAGUUCCCAGUGAGACCAAUGCAGAAGGAGGAGGAUGAAGCUCAGAAAGUUCAGUUGACCUGAGAAAAGUCACACAGACAGUGACUAGCAAAACUGCAAGCGGACUAAUACUUACCUGAUUCGAAGUCUCCUGAUGGUUUUGCUAUGCCUCCACGUAGAAUGCCUAUCCAUUGCAAUUCCCUGCCUCGGGACCAGUGGAAGAAGGGUGAGAGCAAAGAAUUGGAAAGAGAAGAUGUUGGCUUUCCUCUUUUCUAUCUGCAAGACCCCUGCCUAGACAUAUCUGUGUGCAACCAGAAAACAUGCAUUGAAAAUAACAAUUGAAUGAAAUCCCUUUAUAAAAUGUUUAAUUGGCCAACCAGGUGACCAAAUGUACCUGAAGC